rnacentral:lncRNA from 1 species
GCCUAAAGUUAUUCGUGGCCAUCAAAUAUGACCUAAGGAACCAUAGUCACCUCCAUUCCAUGGCCGUUUCUUGUUGUUUUGCGUUUUACGGCCAAAAAACUAGAAUUUCGCCCGAUUCCCAUAUUUUCGUGUGCGAUAAGCCCACGCUUUCUGAGUAGGUCCGGCCCCCCGGACCCCGAUCGCCUAAAAUUAUUCCGGGCCAUCAAAUACGACCUAAGGAACCGUGGUUACCGCCCCGCCAUGGUUGUUCCUUGUUGUUUUGCGUUUUACUGACAAAAAACUAGAAUUUCGCCUGAUUCCCAUAUUUUCGUGAUAUAUAGCCCACGCCUUCCAAGUGGAUCCGGGCCCCCGGACCCCGAUCGCCUAAAAUCUAUUUGGGCCAUCAACUACAACCUAAGGAACAAUAGUCACCGCCCCUCCAUGGACGUUACUCGUUGGUUUGCGUUUUACGGCCAAAAACUAGAAUUCCGCCUGAUUCUCAUAUUCUCAUAUUUUACUAGCCUAUGCAUUCCGAGUGGGUCUGGGCCCCCGGACCCUGAUCGCCUAAAAUUACUCGGAGCCAUCAAAUACGACCUAAGGAACCAUAGUCACCGCCCCGCCAUGGCUGUUCCUCGUUGUUUUGCGUUUCACGCCCAAAAAACUAGAAUUUCGCCUGAUUCCCAUAAUUUCGUGUGCUACUCCUUCCGAGUGGGUCCGGGCCCCCGGACCCUGAUA